UACGUAGGGGGCAAGCGUUGUCCGGAUUUAUUGGGCGUAAAGGGCGCGUAGGUGGCCCGGUCAGUUCGUGGUGAAAGCGCGGGCUCAACCCUGCGUCGGCCAUGAAUACUGCCGCGGCUGGAGCACUGUAGAGGCAGGCGGAAUUCCGGGUGUAGCGGUGGAAUGCGUAGAGAUCCGGAAGAACACCGGUGGCGAAGGCGGCCUGCUGG
rnacentral:rRNA from 1 species